rnacentral:rRNA from 1 species
UACGUAGGGUGCAAGCGUUAAUCGGAAUUACUGGGCGUAAAGCGUGCGCAGGCGGUGAUGUAAGACAGUUGUGAAAUCCCCCGGCUCAACCGGGGAACGGGCACCGAUACGAGCGGCCUCGAGGGGGGUAGGGGGGUCUGGAACUUCCGGUGGAGCGGUGAAAUGCGUUGAGAUCGGAAGGAACGCCCGUGGCGAAAGCGAGGCCCUGGACCCUUUCUGACGCUGAGACGCGAAAGCCAGGGGAGCGAACGGG